rnacentral:lncRNA from 1 species
CUCUGGGAUGUGCUUUAUUAUCACAUCGCACCAUAGAUGAUAACUACACCAAACUUCCCACAGAACAAGGAUACCUAUUGGAAAAGUUUCAUAGAGUCAAUCAUAGAUUUAAUGUAAAUGUCACGGUUGUCGUAUGGAUUGGACCAAAACGCAGCGGGAAUAUGUAUACUCAUCUUCUUUUUAUUUUGAAGAAGGAGAAACAACUAAAUACGUAUACAAAAAAAGAACAAACCGAAACAGUCCUGUCAUGUGCAACAAACACUAAACAAGGAACAACUACCUACAAAUCCCAUAGAAAAACACCCCUCUUAAAUAGGACCUUCAAGUAGAAGCAACGAGGAGCAGCUGCUUCCAAUUGAAGGUCCACCCAAUAAACAUCACAUAGAAAUAGACAUACUAGAACUAACAUAGAAAUAGACUAACAAAGAACAUAGCCCAACAAACCCCGAAACACUCUAAACAAACACCCCUCUUAAAUAUGAACAUAGGCCAACAAACCCCGAAACACUCUAAACAAACACCCCCUGCCACGUCCUGACCAAACUACAGUAACAAAUAACCCCUUAUACUGGUCAGGAAGUGACCGUAAAAUCAGUCACAACAACCUAUUUUCAAGUUGGCCGCCAUUCAUUUGAAUGUGGAGGAACUGAAUAGAUUUUUCGGGGCAUAAAUUAAUAACCUCUUAAGGAUUGGACCCUUUUUUUCAAAUUUUUGUCUAAAAUGACAUACCCAAAUCUAACUGCCUGUAGCUCAGGACCUGAAGCAAGGAUAUGCAUAUUCUUGAUAUCAUUUGAAAGGAAACACUUUGAAGGUUGUGGAAAUGUGAAAUUAAUGUAGGAGAAUAUAACACAUUAGAUCUGGAAAAGAUAAUACAAAGAAAAAACAUUCAUUUUUUAAAUUGUUGUUCCAUCUUUGAAAUGCAAGAGAAAGGCCAUUAUAUCACUUAGGAGUCAAGGCACAAUAUAGAUUUUGGCCACUAGAUUGCAGCAGUGUAUGUGCAAAGUUUUAGAUUGAUUCAAUGAGCCAUUGCAUUUCUGUUCAAAAUGUUGUGUCAAGACUGCCCAAAUGUGCCUAAUUGGUUUAUUAACACAUUGGUAGAAAUAUGACAAAACGCUGAAAAUGAGGUCAGGUUAAAGAUGGGCUCAGGAGAUCUUAUUCGUUUCCUUCUAUGAGAUAAUAUCAGUCAUUUAACAUGACCUUUAUCAAUUAUGAAGCCUUUAUGUGCUUUAUGUGCAUAAAUGCUUAAAAAAAAAUCACAAAAUGUAACGUUAGCUGAUGAAGAUUAUCUCAUAGAACAAAACGUAUAACCUUUUCUAAGCCUGUAUUUACCAAAUAACACAUUUUCGGCAAUAAUUUUAAAAAAGAAUACAAAAACGCCAUUUAUUACCCUAUAGGCUGUCGAACGAACCAUGGCGGAGUUAGUGCCUACUGCCCUGGGAUUGGCUCCGGCAUCCUGGGUCAGCCCCAGCUCUCUCUGGGUGAAUUUAGUAGCACCCCCUGGUGGCCACGGGCAGGGGAUGGGCCCUCUACCGGUGCAGGGAGCUGGCUGGAUGUAGUGGCACCCCCUUUUGGCCGUGGGUGGGUUUGGCACCCCUCUCCGGGAGUUGGCCCCCCUUUCCCUGGGUUGGCCCCAUCCCUCUCUGGUCCUCUGUAGGGAGCUAGGUGGAUGUAGUGGGUCCCCCUGGUGGCUUUGGGCGGGGGUCGCCCCCUCUCCCUGGGUCUGCCUCAGAUUUCUGGCCCUCUCCCCCCAUAUCCCUGGUGCAGGGAGCUGGCUGGAUGUACUGGUGCCCCCUGGUGGCCGUGGGUGGAGGUAUGCACCCCUCUCUGUGGGUCGGGCCCCCCUCCCUGGAUCAGCCUCAGCCCUCUCCGGCCCUUCCCCCCAUAUCUCUGGGGAAGGGAGCUGGCUGCAUUGGCCCCCGUGCCUGGGGGUCGGUCCACCCAGUCUCUGGAGUGAGACUCUAGACAGAGUCUCUGAGUUAGAGCAUCAACAUCACCUGUAAAUGUACACUGAACAGGUGUAAUGAUCACGUGUAAUGCAUACAGAACAGGUGUAAUGAACGCGUGUAAUGCACACAGAACAGGUGUAAUGAACGUGUGUAAUGUACACAGAACAGGUGUAAUGAACGUGUGUUAUGCACACUGAACAGGUGUAAUGAACGUGUGUAAUGCACACUGAACAGGUGUAAUGCACACAGAACAGGUGUAAUGAACGUGUGUAAUGCACACAGAAAAGGUGUAAUGAAUGCGUGUAAUGCACACUGAACGGGUGUAAUGAACGUGUGUAAUGCACACUGAACAGGUGUAAUGAACAUGUGUAAUGCACACAGAACAGGUGUAAUGAACGUGUGUUAUGCACACAGAACAGGUGUAAUGAACGUGUGUAAUGCACACUGAACAGGUGUAAUGAACGUGUGUAAUGCACACUGAACAGGUGUAAUGAACGUGUGUAAUGCACACUGAACGGGUGUAAUGAACGUGUGUAAUGCACACAGAACAGGUGUAAUGAACGUGUGUAAUGCACACAGAAAAGGUGUAAUGAACGCGUGUAAUGCACACUGAACGGGUGUAAUGAACGUGUGUUAUGCACACAGAACAGGUGUAAUGAUCACAUGUAAAAAUGACCAUAACAAACGUUCUAAUCACCUGUAAACACACUGGACAGGUGAAAAAAUCACGUGUACAAAAAAUAACAUUUGACACUUGAAAAAAGCAAGUGAAAAAUGAUCAUAACAAGUGUUCAAAUCACCUGUAAACACACACUAGACAGGCGAAACAAUCACAUGUACAAAAAAAUGACAUUUGACACUUGAAAAAAGCAAGUGAGCUGCCACGCCCUAGCUGGCUCGAGAGGUUUCUUGCCCGGUUGGCUCGGAAGGCGACCAUCCCACGUCAAGCCUUAGCCGGAUCGUCAGGUUUUUACGCCCAGACGGCUUGUCAGGCUGCUACGCCUCAGCCGGAUCUUCAGGCUCCCAUGGUCCAGCGGGAUCCUCAGGUUGUCACGCCUCAGCCGGUUCGCCAGGCUCCCAUGCCCCUGCCAGUUUGUCAGGAUUUUACGCCCUGCCGUUUUGUCCAGCGUCCGUGCCUCGGCCGGCCUGUCAGGCUUGCCCAGGUGGGACGUCGGGUGGCGCCCCUAGAGUAGGGUGUACUGUCACGCCUGCUCCUGCUCCCUUUCCCUGGCAUUCGAAGGCGCCAGGCUCCCCAGCAUUACGCACUCCUGCCACCAUCAGUACGCACACUUUCCUUUCCCCGUCACGCGCAUCAGCAUAUUAUUGGACUCAAUCACCUGUUUAUUACCUCCCCUAUAUUUGUCAGUUCCCUAUCUCUGUUCCCCGCUGCUGCAUUGAUUGUUGUUUGUCGUUGUGUAUCCGUGUGCUGACGCUGUUUUUGGUCUUUGUCUGUUUUUGCUCUUUGUCUGUUCCUAAUUCAAUGUCAACUCCCCAUACCUGCUUCUCGACUCCAGCAUCGCUCUUGCGAGUAUACCAUAGAGAGGUGCAUGCAGCGUGCAUUCGGAGAGGGAACAAAAAUCUAAACUUCGGACCCACUUGUGUUGGAGCACACCAAAGGUCCUUUCUACAUCCACACAGUCUACGGAAGAGAAGAGUAGCUGGUCACGGGUCAGCAGAUCGUUAAACUGAUACAUCAGUCAUUCAGCCUAUUCAUUUUCAUCAGGAAACAACUCGAAGUGUAGCUACGUGUUAAAUCAAUCUGUGCAUUUUAACGAGAUUGUCACGACUUCCACCAAAGUCGGCUCCCCUCCUUGUUCGGGCGGCGUUCGGCGGUCGACGUCACCGACCUUCUAGCCAUCGCUGCUCCAUUUUUCAUUGUUCCAUUUGUUUUGUCUUGUUCCCCGCACACCUGGUUUACAUUCCCU